UACCUCACCACACAUGUUUCCAUACAUAGCUUGAGUACUUGUUAUAGUCAUAGACAAUCACUGCCCAGAACAAGGCUGCCAUUGCUGCAGUCCAGUUAUCAAGUGUAGCUUUGGAACAUAGAAAUGGGGUUGACAGGACAGAAGAAGAAUUGGCAGGAGGGAUUCCAGUCCCACCUUGAGCAUUCCUAUUCACACUUUCCCAAUCCCACUCCCAGAAAAGAUUCCAGCCCAAAGGCUUUCAAUAGUGUUCACUUUGUGUCAUUGCCCUUAUUUAGUAUAAAAAUCAGAGUUACACAUGAUAACGGUGAUCACAUAACGUUAAAUUAGGCUCUUCCCACAGACAAGCAGAGAGCACAGACUAUCCAGCCCAGUCCGAAUUCCAAGGUUCCAUGUUUCGGAAAAGAGUGGGGUUUUCACUAGGAAAAGUUCUUUUUGUAGGAAACUAGAUGGUCCAACACAUUCAUGAGGCGGUGAAUCUCUCAGCCAUAGAUUUCAGAAUAAGGAAACUGAGAUUGGAAUGGGCUACAUCGUUUCCAAUUCUAGAGAUCACACUUCUGACCCCUCUUGACAUUUGAAAAAGUAGCCACUUUCUUUGGCCAAUGACAGUAAGAUUGAGCAUCAUUCUUGC
rnacentral:lncRNA from 1 species